rnacentral:ncRNA from 1 species
AUCGGGGGUGCCCAUAAUGGCUGAGACGGCGAGCGCCGAACCCUUUAACCUGAUACGGAUAAUGCCGGCGUAGGGAGUAUUGAUU